GGGGUUGUGGCUCAGUGGCAGAGCACACUGGUCUUGCACAUGUGAGGCACUGGGUUGGAUCCUCAGCACCACA
rnacentral:tRNA from 1 species